rnacentral:rRNA from 1 species
GUCCACACCGUAAACGAUGAAUGCUAGUUGUCUGCAUGCAUGCAUGUAGGUGACGCAGCUAACGCAUUAAGCAUUCCGCCUGGGGAGUACGGCCGCAAGGUUAAAACUCAAAGAAAUUGACGGGGGCCCGCACAAGCGGUGGAGCAUGUGGUUUAAUUCGAAGCAACGCGCAGAACCUUACCUACCCUUGACAUGCCUGGAUGUGAUCAGAGAUGAGAUCGUUCCUUCGGGACCAGUGCACAGGUGCUGCAUGGCU